GGCUUCAGUCUUUUAAUCCCUAUUUCUACCAGCAAUCCUUUUUCUACAAGUAGGCCCUACUCGUCAGCUGAAGCUCAGUCAUAAGAGAGUGAUGACUAAAUGACAACCAGCAGAUGAUGUGUCUCCUAAUGAUCCUAUGGGAAGUAAGCAAACUGGACUAAACAGGAGACUUCCUGUGGACACACGGAUGUCCCACCCGGGUAAAAUCCUCUUUGUGCACGUGGUGCCUACUCCACUGGCACUGUCUUCCCAGAGGAGCUCCUGGAGACCUAAAUCAGGCCUCUAAAGGUU
rnacentral:lncRNA from 1 species